GAAAGGUGAGUGGUAUUUACUUCUUCAAAAGAGAAGCUAUCCACCUCAGAGCUCAUCUUUCAUCACACUCACUAUGUUGAUUUAUUAUGAAAAAAUAAACUACAGAAAAGGAAAAGUCUCUGAGCGGUUAAACUGAAAGUCACCUAAUUCCUUGGGUAGAAAUGCCAACAAGGAAAUUGACAGGACCCCAAGUCCUUCAGUUUUGACUAAGAAAGUCCUAGUACCUGGGCACGGGUUUAGAGAGUCCGCAAGAUUCUAUAGAGGCAAGUAGUAGUUGAGUAAGUUUGACCGAAACGUGUGAUUGUCGUAAACAAUCGGUGAUGACUUGAUACUGAUGGCAACAUUAGUGGAUACGAGAGGAAACCUUAGUCGGGUAUAAUCUCUACAAAAGACAGGUCACUUAAACGAGUAAUCUCAUCGU
rnacentral:sRNA from 10 species